AAUUUGAAAUCUGGCCCCUCUGGGGUCCGAGUUGUAAUUUGUAGAGAGUGCUUCGGGGGAGACUGCGGUCUAAGUCUAUUGGAACAUAGCGUCCCAGAGGGUGAGAAUCCCGUAUGUGACCGCGGCUCGAGCCCAUGUGAAGCCUCUUCGACGAGUCGAGUUGUUUGGGAAUGCAGCUCUAAAUGGGUGGUAAAUUUCAUCUAAAGCUAAAUACUGGCUGGAGACCGAUAGCGCACAAGUAGAGUGAUCGAAAGAUGAAAAGCACUUUGGAAAGAGAGUUAAACAGUACGUGAAAUUGUUGAAAGGGAAGCGCUUGCAACCAGACCUGCCCGUAGGCGAUCAACCGCUGUUUUCAGCGGUGCACUCGUCCUGCGAUCAGGCCAGCAUCGGUUCGGGCGGUCGGAUAAAGGCCUUGGGAAUGUAGCUUCCCUUCGGAGGAGUCUUAUAGCCCUCGGUGCAAUGCGGCCAGCCGGGACCGAGGACCGCGCUUCGGCUAGGAUGCUGGCGUAAUGGUUGUAAGCGACCC
rnacentral:rRNA from 1 species